rnacentral:rRNA from 1 species
UGUGAGCCAGGUUGGAUUCUAUCUUUAAAUUAUUUAAAUGGUUUAGUACGAAAGGGCCCACCAUUUGUAAUAUUUACUUUGUUAAGAAUAAAA